rnacentral:rRNA from 1 species
GGAGGGAAUACCGAUGGGGGAAGGCAGCUUCCUGGCAUCAUACUGACACUGAGGCUCGAAAGCGUGGGUAGCAAACAGGAUUAGAUACCCCUGGUAGUCCACGCCGUAAACGAUGUCUACUAGUCGUUGGGUCCCUUGAGGACUUAGUGACGCAGCUAACGCAAUAAGUAGACCGCCUGGGGAGUACGGCCGCAAGGUUAAAACUCAAAUGAAUUGACGGGGGCCCGCACAAGCGGUGGAGCAUGUGGUUUAAUUCGAUGCAACGCGAAGAACCUUACCUGGUCUUGACAUAUCUAGAAUCCUGCAGAGAUGCGGGAGUGCCUUCGGGAAUUAGAAUACAGGUGCUGCAUGGCUGUCGUCAGCUCGUGUCGUGAGAUGUUGGGUUAAGUCCCGCAACGAGCGCAACCCUUGUCCUUAGUUACCAGCGGGUUAAGCCGGGAACUCUAAGGAUACUGCCAGUGACAAACUGGAGGAAGGCGGGGACGACGUCAAGUCAUCAUGGCCCUUACGACCAGGGCUACACACGUGCUACAAUGGUAGGUACAGAGGGCAGCUACACAGCGAUGUGAUGCGAAUCUCAAAAAGCCUAUCGUAGUCCAGAUUGGAUGUCUGCAACUCGGGC